GAUGAACGCUGGCGGCGUGCCUAAUACAUGCAAGUCGAGCGAACAGACGAGGAGCUUGCUCCUCUGACGUUAGCGGCGGACGGGUGAGUAACACGUGGAUAACCUACCUAUAAGACUGGGAUAACUUCGGGAAACCGGAGCUAAUACCGGAUAAUAUAUUGAACCGCAUGGUUCAAUAGUGAAAGACGGUUUUGCUGUCACUUAUAGAUGGAUCCGCGCCGCAUUAGCUAGUUGGUAAGGGAACGGCUUACCAAGGCGACGAUGUGUAGCCGACCUGAGAGGGUGAUCGGCCACACUGGAACUGAGACACGGUCCAGACUCCUACGGGAGGCAGCAGUAGGGAAUCUUCCGCAAAGGGCGAAAGCCUGACGGAGCAACGCCGCGUGAGUGAUGAAGGUCUUCGGAUCGUAAAACUCUGUUAUUAGGGAAGAACAAAUGUGUAAGUAACUAUGCACGUCUUGACGGUACCUAAUCAGAAAGCCACGGCUAACUACGUG
rnacentral:rRNA from 1 species